UUUUUUUUUUUUUAAAAAAAAAAAAAAACUUAAUUGUUGUUUGAUUAUUUUUAU
rnacentral:tRNA from 1 species